rnacentral:misc_RNA from 1 species
CGACGCUUUUCCACACUUUC